rnacentral:rRNA from 1 species
UACGUAGGUGGCAAGCGUUAUCCGGAUUUACUGGGUGUAAAGGGCGCGUAGGCGGGGAUGCAAGUCAGAUGUGAAAUCUAUGGGCUUAACCCAUAAACUGCAUUUGAAACUGUAUCUCUUGAGUGCUGGAGAGGUAGACGGAAUUCCUUGUGUAGCGGUGAAAUGCGUAGAUAUAAGGAAGAACACCAGUGGCGAAGGCGGUCUACUGGACAGUAACUGACGCUGAGGCGCGAGAGCGUGGGGAGCAAACAGG